UAAGCGACUAAGCGUACACGGUGGAUGCCCUGGCAGUCAGAGGCGAUGAAGGACGUGCUAAUCUGCGAUAAGCGUCGGUAAGGUGAUAUGAACCGUUAUAACCGGCGAUUUCCGAAUGGGGAAACCCAGUGUGUUUCGACACACUAUCAUUAACUGAAUCCAUAGGUUAAUGAGGCGAACCGGGGGAACUGAAACAUCUAAGUACCCCGAGGAAAAGAAAUCAACCGAGAUUCCCCCAGUAGCGGCGAGCGAACGGGGAGCAGCCCAGAGCCUGAAUCAGUGUGUGUGUUAGUGGAAGCGUCUGGAAAGGCGCGCGAUACAGGGUGACAGCCCCGUACACAAAAAUGCACAUACUGUGAGCUCGAUGAGUAGGGCGGGACACGUGGUAUCCUGUCUGAAUAUGGGGGGACCAUCCUCCAAGGCUAAAUACUCCUGACUGACCGAUAGUGAACCAGUACCGUGAGGGAAAGGCGAAAAGAACCCCGGCGAGGGGAGUGAAAAAGAACCUGAAACCGUGUACGUACAAGCAGUGGGAGCCUCUUUUAUGGGGUGACUGCGUACCUUUUGUAUAAUGGGUCAGCGACUUAUAUUCUGUAGCAAGGUUAACCGAAUAGGGGAGCCGAAGGGAAACCGAGUCUUAACUGGGCGUUAAGUUGCAGGGUAUAGACCCGAAACCCGGUGAUCUAGCCAUGGGCAGGUUGAAGGUUGGGUAACACUAACUGGAGGACCGAACCGACUAAUGUUGAAAAAUUAGCGGAUGACUUGUGGCUGGGGGUGAAAGGCCAAUCAAACCGGGAGAUAGCUGGUUCUCCCCGAAAGCUAUUUAGGUAGCGCCUCGUGAAUUCAUCUCCGGGGGUAGAGCACUGUUUCGGCAAGGGGGUCAUCCCGACUUACCAACCCGAUGCAAACUGCGAAUACCGGAGAAUGUUAUCACGGGAGACACACGGCGGGUGCUAACGUCCGUCGUGAAGAGGGAAACAACCCAGACCGCCAGCUAAGGUCCCAAAGUCAUGGUUAAGUGGGAAACGAUGUGGGAAGGCCCAGACAGCCAGGAUGUUGGCUUAGAAGCAGCCAUCAUUUAAAGAAAGCGUAAUAGCUCACUGGUCGAGUCGGCCUGCGCGGAAGAUGUAACGGGGCUAAACCAUGCACCGAAGCUGCGGCAGCGACACUGUGUGUUGUUGGGUAGGGGAGCGUUCUGUAAGCCUGUGAAGGUGUACUGUAAGGUAUGCUGGAGGUAUCAGAAGUGCGAAUGCUGACAUAAGUAACGAUAAAGCGGGUGAAAAGCCCGCUCGCCGGAAGACCAAGGGUUCCUGUCCAACGUUAAUCGGGGCAGGGUGAGUCGCCCCCUAAGGCGAGGCCGAAAGGCGUAGUCGAUGGGAAACAGGUUAAUAUUCCUGUACUUGGUGUUACUGCGAAGGGGGGACGGAGAAGGCUAUGUUGGCCGGGCGACGGUUGUCCCGGUUUAAGCGUGUAGGCUGGUUUUCCAGGCAAAUCCGGAAAAUCAAGGCUGAGGCGUGAUGACGAGGCACUACGGUGCUGAAGCAACAAAUGCCCUGCUUCCAGGAAAAGCCUCUAAGCAUCAGGUAACAUCAAAUCGUACCCCAAACCGACACAGGUGGUCAGGUAGAGAAUACCAAGGCGCUUGAGAGAACUCGGGUGAAGGAACUAGGCAAAAUGGUGCCGUAACUUCGGGAGAAGGCACGCUGAUAUGUAGGUGAAGUCCCUCGCGGAUGGAGCUGAAAUCAGUCGAAGAUACCAGCUGGCUGCAACUGUUUAUUAAAAACACAGCACUGUGCAAACACGAAAGUGGACGUAUACGGUGUGACGCCUGCCCGGUGCCGGAAGGUUAAUUGAUGGGGUCAGCGCAAGCGAAGCUCUUGAUCGAAGCCCCGGUAAACGGCGGCCGUAACUAUAACGGUCCUAAGGUAGCGAAAUUCCUUGUCGGGUAAGUUCCGACCUGCACGAAUGGCGUAAUGAUGGCCAGGCUGUCUCCACCCGAGACUCAGUGAAAUUGAACUCGCUGUGAAGAUGCAGUGUACCCGCGGCAAGACGGAAAGACCCCGUGAACCUUUACUAUAGCUUGACACUGAACAUUGAGCCUUGAUGUGUAGGAUAGGUGGGAGGCUUUGAAGUGUGGACGCCAGUCUGCAUGGAGCCGACCUUGAAAUACCACCCUUUAAUGUUUGAUGUUCUAACGUGGACCCGUGAUCCGGGUUGCGGACAGUGUCUGGUGGGUAGUUUGACUGGGGCGGUCUCCUCCUAAAGAGUAACGGAGGAGCACGAAGGUUGGCUAAUCCUGGUCGGACAUCAGGAGGUUAGUGCAAUGGCAUAAGCCAGCUUGACUGCGAGCGUGACGGCGCGAGCAGGUGCGAAAGCAGGUCAUAGUGAUCCGGUGGUUCUGAAUGGAAGGGCCAUCGCUCAACGGAUAAAAGGUACUCCGGGGAUAACAGGCUGAUACCGCCCAAGAGUUCAUAUCGACGGCGGUGUUUGGCACCUCGAUGUCGGCUCAUCACAUCCUGGGGCUGAAGUAGGUCCCAAGGGUAUGGCUGUUCGCCAUUUAAAGUGGUACGCGAGCUGGGUUUAGAACGUCGUGAGACAGUUCGGUCCCUAUCUGCCGUGGGCGCUGGAGAACUGAGGGGGGCUGCUCCUAGUACGAGAGGACCGGAGUGGACGCAUCACUGGUGUUCGGGUUGUCAUGCCAAUGGCACUGCCCGGUAGCUAAAUGCGGAAGAGAUAAGUGCUGAAAGCAUCUAAGCACGAAACUUGCCCCGAGAUGAGUUCUCCCUGACCCUUUAAGGGUCCUGAAGGAACGUUGAAGACGACGACGUUGAUAGGCCGGGUGUGUAAGCGCAGCGAUGCGUUGAGCUAACCGGUACUAAUGAACCGUGAGGCUUAACCU
rnacentral:rRNA from 1 species